rnacentral:lncRNA from 1 species
GUUCGGUCUUGGAGCUCCGUCUUCGGCAGCGGGCUCGGGGGCCUCGGACUCUGCAUAAGGCCCCGGAAAAGAUGACCGGCCCCGGGCUGGGCGCGGUGGCUCAUGCCUGUAACCCUGGAGCUUUGGGAGGCCUUGGCGGGCGGAUCGCUUGAGUCCAGGAGUUCGAGAUCAGCCUGGGCAACAAAGCGAGACACCACCCCCCACCCCCAGUCGCUACAGAAGAAAAAAAAAAAAAUUAACCGGGCGUGGUGUCUCGCGCCCAGUGGUCCUAGCUCCUCGGGAAGGUGAGGCGGGAAGAUCGCUUGAGUCAAGGAGUUCCAGGCAGCAAUGCGCCCCUGCACCCCAACCUGGGCGACAGAGCGAGAUCCUGUUUCAAAAAACAAAAAAGAUGGCAGCCCCGGCCUGACAUACCCCGGCCAUGCUCGCCAAUUCUCACGCCCUGUGCCCCCACCUAGCCUGUCCCCGUGUCCUAGGAGACGUGCCCUCUGAGUUUUAUUUUUUAUUUCUAUUUUUUUGAGGCAGGGUCUUGCUCUGUCGCCCAGGCUGGAGUGCGGUAGCGCGAUCUCGGCUCGCUGUAACCUCCGCCUCUGGAGUAGCUGGGACCACAGGAGCCCACCACGCCCGGCUCAUUUUCUCUUGAGUUUUCCGGGGUGCACGUGCCCCCCGUUAAGGCACAUUGCUUCGCCCUGGGUAGAACUAAGUGGGCGACUCUUGGGCUAGCCCCAUUUUUUCCCCUCAGACCAAACAAAUGAGUGCUUUUUUCCCAGAAAAAAAAUUUCACACAGUUAUAAGAUUUUGCAGAUCCUGAGUAAGACAGUCCCUGCCGGGCGCGGUGGCUCACGCCUGUAAUCCCAGCACUUUGGGAGGCCGAGGUGAGUGGAUCACGAGGUCAGGAGUUCGAGACCAGCCUAGCCAACAUGGUGAAACCCCCGUCUCUACUAAAACUACAAAAAUUAGCCAGGCGUGGUGGUGGGCACCUGUAAUCCCAGCUACUUGGGAGGCUGAGGCAGGAGAAUUGCUUGAACCCAGGGGGCAGAGGUUGCAAUGAGCUGAGAUCAAGCCACUUCACUCCAGCUUGGGCAAAAGAGCAAAAUUCCAUCUUAAAAAAAAAAAAAAAUGGGGGGGCCCUUCCACCUUCCCAUUUAAAAUGUGCCAGACACUGUUAGGUACUAAGGGCAUGUCCUCAAAUGUCCUAACAUGGAGGACUUUUGUUUCUUCAUAGGUAGGCUAGAGCUAAUGAUAGCACCCUGAAAGGGUACUCAAUUUGUGGAGCCUGAGAAAUAAAGAUAGGUAAUAUCCAAAUGCCUGCUAGGAAAUUGUACUCUAGGAUUUGCCUCAAAUUACGUAAGAAAUGGCAAAAUCAUCUGCAGUGCAUGGAAUGUUAUGAUUUGAAAGAGCAGAGUAAAAAUGCUUAUCACUACUUAGAAGAUGUCAUCUUUGGAUGGGUAAUCAAGGAAUAAGGCAAAUUAAGGACAAGGACAAGCCAAAAUUUGGCAAAGGGAAAGCAUAAAUCAGGAAAUA